AAAAAGAAAAGAAAAGAAAAAAAAUUAUAUAAUCAAAAGUUAAUAUUCUAUUAAUUUUUGAAAAAUACGUUCGCUUGCCACCACUAAAGAUGUUCUAAGUAUGAGAACUGCAUCUUAAUUGCUAGAGCAUCUCUGAAUAAGAUCAAAAGAACAGUAAAGUUCCUAUGUCCGGCAGAGAUCAUCCCUCCAUAUAUAGAAGUAGAUCUCAGCCUACUGGACGUUGGACAAAAGCUAGUAGCUGGAGACCUCAAGGUUCAUCCGGCGCUAAAGCUAAUAAGACCCAAAGACAAACCAAUUGUUAAGAUCGCUCCUACGUGUCAGUGACCAGCAAAAGGACCAGCAAAAGAAGGACCAGCCAAAGAAAGAGCAAUCAAAUAAAUAAACCGGUGUCGAGUUAUAUUAACCGGUGCAAACCAAAUGUUGCUCAUGAUUGUCUUUCCCAAACGUUGAUGAAAAAUUUAUGGAUUAAUCUUCUUAGAACUCGAGAUCCUUUAGGAUAUGAAGGUUUUUUUGUGUGUUAUUAGUGUUGGCGGAGAGCUAUACAUUCUGGUGGAAUAUUAUGUCUUUUGAUUCUACAAUGCAUUUUUUUAUGGAACAAUC